UUAUGUUUCCAAGUGCAAUUGUUUCCUUAAGAAGACUUGUGACAUUUGGAUAGAUAACUUUGGUGGACUUUUUAGAGAAUAGAUGUAAAGGAUGGCAAGACUGGAAGCAGAAUGAUGUAUCAUUGAUCUUAGGAGGCACUUGGGUUUUUUGUGUGUGCUUGUUUGUUUGUUUUUUUGCAUUUCAAUAUCUUCUAAUUGGGAUGUUUCACUUUAGCUAUUAGUCAGACAGCAGUCAAACUAUAUUUGUCAUACCUGCUCAUGAGCAUCAAAGCUUGCCAAAUGGGUGUCUGAGGCUUGGAAGAAAACUCUAGAGCCUGGAGAGGAACACUCUUAGGAAAUGCUGCAUCACCAAAGCCCUUAUGAAAUGCACAGAGGACUACAUUGCGUGGAAAUUAGUGGACAUCCAAGACUGAGUCAAAAAAGUGAAUCAUUAACAAUCAGUCUCUGUGAAGUUUUAGGGAUAGUUACCAUGUUAUUGUUUUCUAUUUCCCUUUUUAUGCAUGCACAAGAGUGAAAUAUAGAAAUCGGUAUGUAUAUAAACCCAUAUUUUCAAUACAUGUAAAACAAAAAUGCUAAGUGGUAAGGAAAGCAUUUGUCACAGAUAAUUUGCAACCUUUUUUCUUUUUUUUUUUGAAACAGGGUCUUGCUCUGUUGCCCAGGCUGGAGUGCAGUGGCGUGAUCUCGGCUCACUGCAACCGUCGGCUCCCGGCUUCAAGCGAUUCUCUUAUCUCAGCCUCACGAGUAGCUGGGAUUACAGGCGCCCGCCACCAUGCCUGGCUGUUUUGUAUUUUUAGUAGAGACAGAGGUUUCGCCAUGUUGGCCAGGCUGGUCUCGAACUCCUGAUCUCAGGUAAUCUGCCUGACUCGGCCUCCCAAAGUGCUGGGAUUACAGGUGUGAGCCACUGCGCCCGGCCUUGUAACCUUUUUUCUUAGCGGGACAUAAAAUAAUGGUGAAUUUUCCAACUGAUGGAGUCCAGGAAAGGGAUAAUAGUGAGCAGAGGGGAGAUAAUCACUGGAAUGCCAAGAAGGAAAAAUCAACUCGAUUUGGCAGAUUACUGGGGGAGAGGUAAAGGUGAAGGGGAGGAAAUCUAGGAUGGUUUCCACGUUUCUGGUCUGGGCAACUGAGUCGAUGUGGUAACCUCGACUGGAGCAGGUUUGGGAGGGAGUUCAAUUUAGGAAGGCUAUGUUGAAAGAAACGAAUGAACGAAAGCUUCGUGCUUGCUUUGGUGGGACGGAACCCCGCAUCCGGUAUCUGGCACCAGGAGCUUGUGGCUGUGUCUCGAGGCUCCUGCACCCUCUCAGAGCGUUAGUUAGAGGCGGGGCGGUGGUGCGGAGC
rnacentral:lncRNA from 1 species